rnacentral:lncRNA from 10 species
UCUCUCUCUCUUUCCUGCCACCACGUGAAAAAGGUGCUUGCUUCCCCUUUGCCUUCUGCCAGGAUUGUAAGUUUCCUGCGGCGUCCCAGUCAUGCUUCCAGUUAUGCCUGAGGAACUAUAUCUCUCAUGUUCUGAAAAAAGAUAGGAUAAACGAUGAGAUGGAUGCCCCUGUGUAUAUCAGACUGGGAUGUUGGCUGCUAGUGAAGACUUCACUAGAUCCCCACACUUUCUUGCUGAAGAUGUCUAUUUAAGCAUGGGAUUUUGUCUCUUUAAUCAAAAGAAUCAAGAAAUAUAAUAAAAAUAAAAAUGCUCAAGUAUUCAAGCUUUCUGGAGGCAACAGGACAAGUAACUCCUGAGGAGUUCUCCACCAUCAAUGCUUCUAGUACUUCCUAGAUCAUGUCUCCACAGACAACAAGAUGGUCUGCACCAAUUUUACUGACAAACACAGAAACCCAGCCUUCCCUCAUAAGUCAAUUUUAGCACUUUGUCUUAAUAUAUCUGAGACUCUUUUCUAAGCCAACUUGUCCUAAACUUGCUUAACUAAAUUUAAAUUAAUAAACAAUGACUGAGCAUCUAUUGCACAGAGGCCAGUGUACUGGAUGCCGUGGAGGGAUAAAACGAUGAGUAAGACAGUCUCUGACUUCAAG